rnacentral:rRNA from 1 species
GGAUUAGCGGCGGACGGGUGAGUAACACGUGGGUAACCUGCCUCAUAGAGUGGAAUAGCCUUCCGAAAGGAAGAUUAAUACCGCAUAACGUUGAAAGAUGGCAUCAUCAUUUAACCAAAGGAGCAAUCCGCUAUGAGAUGGACCCGCGGCGCAUUAGCUAGUUGGUGGGGUAACGGCCUACCAAGGCGACGAUGCGUAGCCGACCUGAGAGGGUGAUCGGCCACAUUGGGACUGAGACACGGCCCAGACUCCUACGGGAGGCAGCAGUGGGGAAUAUUGCACAAUGGGGGAAACCCUGAUGCAGCAACGCCGCGUGAGUGAUGAAGGUUUUCGGAUCGUAAAGCUCUGUCUUUGGGGAAGAUAAUGACGGUACCCAAGGAGGAAGCCACGGCUAACUACGUGCCAGCCGCCGCGGUAAU